UACGAAGGGGGCUAGCGUUGCUCGGAAUUACUGGGCGUAAAGGGUGCGUAGGCGGCCUGUUAAGUCGAACGUGAAAUCCCCGGGCUCAACCCGGGAACUGCGUCCGAUACUGGCAGGCUUGAAUCCGGGAGAGGGAUGCGGAAUUCCAGGUGUAGCGGUGAAAUGCGUAGAUAUCUGGAGGAACACCGGUGGCGAAGGCGGCAUCCUGGACCGGCAUUGACGCUGAGGCGCGAAAGCCAGGGGAGCAAACGGG
rnacentral:rRNA from 1 species